UACGUAGGGGGCUAGCGUUGUCCGGAUUUAUUGGGCGUAAAGAGCGUGUAGGCGGCCAGGUAGGUCCGUUGUGAAAACUCGAGGCUCAACCUCGAGACGUCGGCGGAAACCCUCUGGCUAGAGUCCGGAAGGGGAGAGUGGAAUUCCUGGUGUAGCGGUGAAAUGCGCAGAUAUCGGGAAGAACACCCGUGGCGAAGGCGGCUCUCUGGGACGGUACUGACGCUGAGACGCGAAAGCGUGGGGAGCGAACAGG
rnacentral:rRNA from 1 species